rnacentral:rRNA from 1 species
GCAUGCGCAUCUACCAUGCAGUCGACGAUGAACCGGCUUCGGUCGGGGAUUAGUGGCGAACGGGUGAGUAACACGUGGGUGACCUGCCCUGCACUCUGGGAUAAGCCUGGGAAACCGGGUCUAAUACCGGAUAGGACUGCCGAUCGCAUGGUUGGUGGUGGAAAGCUUUUGUGGUGUGGGAUGGGCCCGCGGCCUAUCAGCUUGUUGGUGGGGUAGUGGCCUACCAAGGCGACGACGGGUAGCCGGCCUGAGAGGGUGACCGGCCACACUGGGACUGAGACACGGCCCAGACUCCUACGGGAGGCAGCAGUGGGGAAUAUUGCACAAUGGGCGGAAGCCUGAUGCAGCGACGCCGCGUGAGGGAUGACGGCCUUCGGGUUGUAAACCUCUUUCGACAGGGAAGAAGCUUUCGGGUGACGGUACCUGUAGAAGAAGCACCGGCUAACUACGUGCCAGCAGCCGCGGUAAUACGUAGGGUGCAAGCGUUGUCCGGAAUUAUUGGGCGUAAAGAGCUCGUAGGCGGUCUGUCGCGUCGAUUGUGAAAGCCCGGGGCUUAACCCCGGGUCUGCAGUCGAUACGGGCAGGCUAGAGUUCGGCAGGGGAGACUGGAAUUCCUGGUGUAGCGGUGAAAUGCGCAGAUAUCAGGAGGAACACCGGUGGCGAAGGCGGGUCUCUGGGCCGAUACUGACGCUGAGGAGCGAAAGCGUGGGGAGCGAACAGGAUUAGAUACCCUGGUAGUCCACGCUGUAAACGGUGGGCACUAGGUGUGGGCCGCAUUCCACGUGGUCUGUGCCGUAGCUAACGCAUUAAGUGCCCCGCCUGGGGAGUACGGCCGCAAGGCUAAAACUCAAAGGAAUUGACGGGGGCC